UACGGGGGGGGCAAGCGUUGUCCGGAAUCAUUGGGCGUAAAGCGCGCGUAGGCGGCCAGAUAAGUCCGGUGUGAAAGCCACAGGCUCAACCUGUGAAUGCCGCUGGAAACUGUCUGGCUAGAGUCCGGGAGGGGCGAGUGGAAUUCCUGGUGUAGCGGUGAAAUGCGCAGAUAUCAGGAGGAACACCAAUGGCGAAGGCAGCUCGCUGGAACGGAACUGACGCUGAGGCGCGAAAGCGUGGGUAGCAAACAGG
rnacentral:rRNA from 1 species